AUAAAAAAAGAACACGCCACAAAGGAAAAUACACUCUCCGUCUCUCCAACCUCAUCCCCCCUCUCUCUCUCUCUAGCCACAAUGAGAGUUGCAGAGGCUCCUCCCCAAAACCCUAACCAUAAUUCUUCACAACAAGAGCUUCCUCAAAACCCUAGCCCUAAUUCUCUAGAACCAGUUACCCCCAUUCCUCCAAGUCCUAGACCUGUCCCUGUCCCUCCCACUAAGCUCUCUAUCGAAUUCGACAGUGAGAACAAAGUAUUUGUGAACAAGAUCUCCACUAAGCUCUUUGAUGGGUUCGCAAAGCUCAAGUAUUCGUUUCAGAGGAACAAGAAUGGGGAUAUUCAGUACCCGCAAUUAGGGUUUGUGACCAAGUACUUGUCUGUUUUGUAUGAUCAUGAUGAGAGAAAUGCGGUGAUUUCUGGCUGUCUUGAUGUUGGUCCACGAGUGCAGAUCAAAGGAGUUCAUGAUGUCAGUGCACAACAAGGAGAGGCAAGGUUGAUUGCAACUCUAGCUGAUCCUUCUUAUAAACUUGAAUUGGUAUCUUCUGUCCCUUCAACUGGUCCGCCACGAGCAUCAUUGAAAUUCCCAUAUGGUGAAGUCCAAGUGGAAGAAAAGGAGGUCGAUGAAGAUAAGAGAGUGUUGUCUCUUGGUGGGAUCCUGAAAGGCAAUGUCCUUAAUGGUGUUUGCAGUGCACUACACAAGGAUGGAAACUGGAAUCUCAUAUAUGCUUACAAGGAUGAUGAACUGACAUUCAUUCCCAGUGUCGCAUUGCCGUCUAAUGUCUUCUCAUUUGCAUUCAAGCGGCGUUUUAGCCCUGUUGACAAGUUGAGCUACUUGUACAACUUUUACUCUAAUGACUGGAGUGCUGUAUACAAGCACAACUUUGGCGAUGACCUGAAGUUGAAGGUUGGUUAUGACUCUGAAGUGCGACUUGGAUGGGCUUCUUUUUGGGUCGGAAAAGAAAAUGCUGGGGCGAAGAAGGCCCCAAAUAAGUGCAAGCUUCAGCUUAUGCUUCAAGUUCCCCAAGAUAAUCCCAAAGCAAUCGAAUUCUUAUUCCGGUUGAAAAAACGGUGGGAUAUAUAAAAGAUCAUGUGGCCAUGAAGAUUUGUAGAGUUAUUCAUGUGAAAUAUGAGCAAUGAUUGGUUUUGUCUGCUUCUGGUGGCUUAUGCUCAUGGAUUUUUGCCAAGCGAGAAAACCCGACAACUUUGUGAUGAAGUUAAAGAAUACUGCAAGAAUGGUUACCAUAACAAAUUGCUGGAAAACCCAUUUCAGAGAUAGAGUCAGGCUUUUGAAGUUAGAAGCAGCACAAGCCUACUCUGUAUCACCUGAGCUAGCGAGGACUUGGGGUCGCAAUUCCAUAUGGUCUCGAGCUGGGGAAUGAGUCAUUGUUGAGUCUCGGGAAGAUUUUGUCUUAUUUUUUUACUGUUUUCAUGUUGCACGGAGCCAUAUGAUUCUUGAGUUCUAAUGAGAUUUUUUUUCUUUUUGCA